GCGCGUCAUGGCGCAGUGGCUAGCGCUGCAGUUUUUGAAUUUCAGGCCACGGGUUCGAUUCCGGUAGGCGGCA